CAAAACACGCUCCCACCCUUCCUCGUGGGGAGCAGGACGCGGCAUAUGGCUCCUCGUGCCCCUAGGCGCGGUGGGCCGAAGAUCGGGCUGCCGGCAUAUCUAUCGUGCCGGGCGCAGCGCGUGGUGGGCGAUCUCGCUUUACUCAGCGCAGCGCUGCAGGUGCGUAGCCGGCGCAAUGGCCUCAAAGGACCCCAAAGAACGGAGUGCGCGUCGCUCCGACC
rnacentral:misc_RNA from 1 species